GCGAUCGUAGCUCAGCUGGUUAGAGCGCUGGAUUGUGGAUCCAGAGGUCGGUGGUUCGACCCCACCCGAUCGUACCA
rnacentral:tRNA from 1 species